GGUGUGCGUGGAGUGGGGGCGCCAGGGAGAAUCAGAGGGUGCUGGAAGGCAAGGGCACGGCAGCUCCCAGGCCUGGGGGAUGGGAGGGCAGCGGGAACCUCUUAUUCAUGGGGCUUACCUGGGGGCGGUGGGGGGGGGGGUGUCUUGUCAAAUAUACAGGUUCCCAGGCCCCUCUCCGAACAUAAGGAAUCAAGGUUUUUACAAUUAGGAGAGUUUGAAAAAUUCUGGAGUUUCCUGGUUAGCCAAUCAGCAAAUACUUACCUAGUGUGCACACAGUUUGUACCACCUCACGUUUUGAGGUGAUCAGCUUCCUCUGGCAUCCACUCCAUCCAUCCCCAGCCUGUGGCACUGCAGACCAUGUUCCUUUUGCCCGCUACUCCGCGAUGGCCCCAAAUGCCUGGGUCGGCUGCUGCUCGAGGGUUCUUCAGCCUUCCCUCCCAGGUCAGUGUGCCUAUUUCCUUCCUUCCUGGCAGACAUCCUCGGAUGUCAGCCACACGGGACACAGUGCCCAGACACAAGCUGUGGGGGUCAGACCCCUCUUACAGGCAUGUUACUCCCCCAGGAAUCUGUGAGCUGCUUCGAGAAGGGUGGGGACUCUAAGUCUGGCCUCAAGCCUCCAUCAGUGUUGGGUGAGACCUAUUGGUCCUUCUUGCACAGAGUGCGCCCCCUUGGGACCUUCGGUGUGAAAGCAGCAGCUGGGACUGCUGAGAUAGCCCCGUAUGGGCCGGUCUGUCCAUCCAGUACCAUUGACAGAGAGCUGAAGAGUCCUGUCCUCAGAGAGCCCACAGCUGGGGAGAAAACAACACAGUGUGACAAGCUCAUAAAGACCCUAAGAGACUCUCCUCCAUGGAGCCCUCCUGGUGCAACCAGCCUCCAUCUCUUCUCUGACUGCCUACCCCAGGCAGGCAGAUGCCCUCCUGAGGUCUACAUCCCCAACUCCUGUGUGUUCCUGGGAGGCAGGGCCUGAACACCAAACUCCUGAACACCCAGCGCCUGACUUCCGUCGUGAGAGCGACCUUCCUUCAGCUUGCACGCCGGUCUGUUGAACCGAGAAGGUCUUACCUCUUGUUGACCCGGCCCGCAGCCCAGGCACCCGCGAGCAUUGAUUGACCCAGGCUGGCAGCGCGGGACCUGGAGGAUCCCCAGUGUGAAGAUUCUUACCGACCUGCUAUAGUAAUCACCGCCCGCUAGCCGCACCCCCCUAAACCUAGUGAAAUUGUUUAGUGAUGCCAACCGCGCUUUUAAUUUGCAAGACAUCAGACACAGAGGAUGAUGAGGUUCAACAGGAAGGCAACCCUGCUACCACAUUCCAAAAAUUAUGCCAAGAGGGAUGCACUGAUAAUCAGCUACCACACUGUAUGCUGUGCAGAAGAGGAGCAGGACCUCCAUGUCAAGUCAUGAUUGACAGGCCCUUCUAUUGCAGUGCACAGACCAUGAACGGAGAAAGUCACAAUAUAGACUGUCACCAUAGGGUGAAUGUGUGAACUGCUGCGGAGAAUGUGGGAGAGGAAACCACUUGUACACAUUUAAGGACAGCAAAUGGAUAAACUACAAGUGACUUCCAGGUUUAUGCAGUUUCUAUUACCCCCUUCAUAGCCUCCCUAGGGCUGUCAGGUUCAUGGCAGGUGUAAAUACCUGGGUAUACUUAGGGAGGUCAGGGCUGAAGGGAAGACUGCAUCCUGCCUGCUCUGAAGGUAGCGUGUGGCUUAAUACAAUCUCUUCUUUAGCUUCUCCAAUUCCUCCAUCUACAGUUAGCCUUGCCUCUGGCUCCCCUUCCACAACGACUAUCCCCAAACUGCCUUCUCUGCAGUAAAUUUUCUUGGUGGCUGGUUGAAAAAGAUUCAGUGGUACAGAUUGAUUUCUCACCAGCGAGGGGAUGAGGGAUUACCAGAGGCACCCUGGUUAACGAGAUUGGGUGCAGAAUCUCUCAUGAGACCAACCCUCUCUGCCAGGGCUUUGCACCUUUCGCCCAUGACAUAUGGGUUUCAUUACAGAAAGAUUUUCCAGAUUAUAACUUUGAGGCAAUUGCCUGAUAAAAUUCUGCUCGGCUUUAAUGUAGAGAACAAUGUAAAGAUUAAGUAACUUUUUAAUGAAAUGGGAGAAACUCAUAAUGUUUGGUUUUCAAUUCCAAUGCAAACUACUUUAAAUAUUUCUGUGCCUCAACAUAAUUAAAAACAUUGUGAGGUGGAGAAAAGGUACAACAGGCUGUUUUCAGGAGACUCUAAUAUGACUGGCAGGGAACAAAGGAAAUGGCAUACCACCGUGGAAAGAGCAGGGCUUUUAGCACUGGACAGGCUUGGAAUCGAGCCCCAGCUCCUACAAUGACCACUGCAGGCAAGUCACUGAAGACAUCUUUCCGAGCUUCAGUUUCCUCAUUUUUUUUUUUUAAAUAAAAUUCACUCUUUUUAUUUAUUUAUUUUUUUAAAGUGAGCUCUAUACCAAACACGGGGCUUCAAGUCACGACCCUGAGGAUCAAGAGUUGCAUGCUCUACCAACUGAGCCAGCCAGGGCCCCCUUGGGUUCUUCAUUUGUUCCAGGUGAAAUUAAUAAACAGGUCACAUAGGCAUUUAGUAAAUGCUAGCUACUGUAUAACUAUCUUUUUCUUUCUUUCAUUUCAAACAAGAGUUUACUUAGGUAAAGAGACACUUGAUGGGACAACUAUCUAGGAUUCAUUUCUUUUUAGAGCAAUUUAUCUCUACUUAAAGACAAACUGUCCUACGUGCAACAGCUACGUACAAAAAAGUGAUACGACUGUCCUUGGUUUUACGAUAACAAAUGAAAAACAUUAAAAUUCUCCAAAUGAACAAGGUAUGCAAGGUUUUUGUUGUUGUUGUUGUUGUUGUUGUUAAAGUGAGAACAAAAGAAUUUACUGAAAUACAAGCUAAUAAGAGCUGAAUGAGCAUGCCACUAAUGGGGAAAGGGAAUAUUUUCACUGAACCAGUAUUUCACCCCAUUCCAUAUCCAUUCAAUGUUGAUCAAAAUACAGUAAUGGCCAUUUAGUUUUUUUAAAAAAGGCCAUAUGCUUGUGUACAUACACCAGUUGCUUUAUGUACAAUGAAGGAAGGAGGAAGGGGAAAAUGAAAGAACAGAGAAAUCAUACUGCAGUGGUCAGGAUGUGGUUGAACCAAACUGCAGUCUGCUGUUGGAAUGUAUCUUCAAACUCUACUUCCAACUGUGCAUGUGUGUCUCUUUUGUGAAUUGGUUGCCCAUCAAACUGGUAUCUGAACUGCCUCACUGAUAAACCCUGUUGUGCACAAUGGCCCUCAUUAGUUUCCUCAGUGGCAUACGCCUCUUAAAUUGCACCACAGAACAAUCCCGCCCUGCCACCUUUAAGUUAAUAUGACUACCGUUCUUAGUCUAGACUCCUUCCUUCCUUGGGUUUUUCACUGGCCAAGGUGAGUGCUGGAGCUCCUCAGCUGCCAUUCACAAGAGGUCCCAGGUCUGCACCGAAUCAGUGUUCAGGCAGUAUCGUGAUAGGCAAAGGGGGUCAAACUUUACUUUUUAAAAGAUCUCAAAUGCAAAACAAAAGGACACAUGAAUGUUUUGCUUCUGUGUAACACACAUAAUUUGGAGAAUCAAAUCUGCCGGAGUAAUGCUGGGUAUUAGAGGCAGCUACCUUCCCAAACUACACCAGGGGCUUCUUCCAGCAAAGAGGAACACAAAAAAUCCUAGUUUAGUUUCAAUCAGUGUGCUAAAAAGCUAUUUAUUUAGUUAGUUUCAUAGAAAGAUGUUUCACAGAAAUGAUGCCAUUUGUUAGAAUUAUGGUUUUGACUCUUUUAAAAAUUACUUUUUUCGUCCUUGAAACCUCGAAUGCAUUCUAAUAACUAUGACAAGAGGGAUCUCCUAGUCAUCACUGUGUGCUGUGCAGGAGAGAGAAGCAAGAAGUGGGGGGAGGAUGAAUAGUUAAGUCAGUCACAUGAAGUGACCACCAUGUGCUGGAUAUUAGGGAAGAUUCAAAUAAGUCAGAAGUGGCCUUGCGAUGGAGCUAGUUGUUCAGAGGUUAUCUUGAUACAUUAGAAGGGAAUAAAAGGAAACCAAUGGCAUUUCGAAUUCUGAUUUCUCUCUCCCAGGAACGUGGAAAGUUUUUCUGUUGCUCUGGCAUACAGCCGGUGCAGAACAGACCAGUACCGGGGCGGUCUGCCAGAUGGAGAUUCUUCACCAUGCUCCAGUUCGGACGCCCGCACAAAACGUACCAGUAAGUGAUCGAUAAUUCAAGUCAAAGGCUAAACACUUUUUAAUGCCUCUAACACAAGAGCAGCUGGUGCUGGUGUCAUUGUCAAGAACAGAAGGUGCUAUGAACUGACUAUAGCGUCAUGGAUGAGGAGGGGUCUCCUGGAGCCUCGUUUAGACACUCGGUGGCCCUCAGAAGGUGGUGUAAUUGUAAGAAGGUCUGCUGACCAUUCUCAAUCAACCCAUGGUAGAGUUCGCAAGUAAGAGUCUUUAGUAGAAACCUCACUUUCUCUAAAAUAUAGAUGUAGCAUUUGAAUGUAAGCAGAACAGCCUUGAGGCUUUGGCCUAUUCUUUGGGCGUAAUAAGCAUUUCAAAAAGAAGACGAAAAUAUAUACCUGAGAAAAGAACAGUCUGGAUGCUACAUCUGUAACCAAACUAUCACUGACUGUGAAAAUCUCCAUCCUGACAAUUCUCAAAAAAGCCUUUUUUGGUCACCCUUUCCAGAUUCUCUUUCUAUUGGGUGUCUUGUCUCUCUAACAGGACUUUUUUCUUCCAAAAGGGUGGGAUGAGUGAGAAGAGUGUUCCCUCCAGGGAAUUCAGACAAAGAUGAUUUUAUAUCAGACAUUUUCCCUCCAAUUCACAUUAAGUCCAAUUUCUAGAGAAUGUUUUAUCCAAGAUAUAAUAUAAAAAAGAAAAACCAGUACUCAAUGUACAGGUAAACAAAUUUGGACAGUUCCAAUAUGGAAAAUAAUUUUAAUGGCUUUUCACGACAAAAAAAAAAAAAAAAAAAAAAAAAAAGGACAGAAAUAUCCAGCCAACAGAUUUAUUCUCAGAGUAUAAAACAUCAAGCAGGAACAUAAAAUAUGGGAAGUGUCAGCCAUGAUGCCUGAAGAUUGAAAGCAGAAGUAGAAGAAUCUUAAUUGUCAGGCACUUGAAAAAUGUUGUAUUCAGGUGGAAAGCCCGUGUUUCUCCAUUGACUCUCCUUGCCCUGCCCUCUUUUAAGAGCAAAACAAGACCAGAUUUCAAAUAUUCAAUCCUUAUCAUCCUUCUCCCUACAAAAAAACCAACCAACCAAACGAACAAAAAAACCGAAAUAACAACAACAACAAAAAAACCCCAAAGAUUUGUGCCCAGGAAUGAGAGCUAACAAGUUAUUUGUAUUUUGUUUCCUUUUCAGAGGGGUUCAGAGGCCUACUUCAUAGUUUCAUUUGGUUCCCUUUUCAAGGGUAAAACUCACCUGAAUGAAAGGCAAUGAGAUCAAAGCAAUGGAUUAAUGCUCUUGGGGUGAGAACUUUUACUAAACACUUAUAAAUCUGUGCAGAACAUUCAUGCUUCAGGGCAUCCAUAGUAAUACAUCGUGGUGAAACACUUAUUAUGACCAAAGGCUAGCAGCUUCACACAGUCUUAAUUUCCUCAUCCACAAAAUGAGGAGAGCAAUAAAUCUAUCAUGGAAGGUUAAGAUAAAACAACAACUAGCCAAAGUGACUUA